rnacentral:rRNA from 1 species
CCUACGGGAGGCAGCAGUGAGGAAUAUUGGUCAAUGGGAGAGAUCCUGAACCAGCCAAGCCGCGUGAGGGAAGACGGCCCUAUGGGUUGUAAACCUCUUUUGUCGGAGAACAAAACCCGGGACGUGUCCCGGACUGCGUGUAUCCGAAGAAAAAGCAUCGGCUAACUCCGUGCCAGCAGCCGCGGUAAUACGGAGGAUGCGAGCGUUAUCCGGAUUUAUUGGGUUUAAAGGGUGCGUAGGCGGUCCGUUAAGUCAGCGGUAAAAUUGCGGGGCUCAACCCCGUCGAGCCGUUGAAACUGGCAGACUGGAGUGGGCGAGAAGUACGCGGAAUGCGCGGUGUAGCGGUGAAAUGCAUAGAUAUCGCGCAGAACUCCGAUUGCGAAGGCAGCGUACCGGCGCCAGACUGACGCUGAGGCACGAAAGCGUGGGGAUCGAACAGGAUUAGAUACCCCAGUAGUC